rnacentral:rRNA from 1 species
GACGAACGCUGGCGGCGUGCUUUACACAUGCAAGUCGAACGGAAAGGCCCUGCUUUUGUGGGGUGCUCGAGUGGCGAACGGGUAAGUAACACGUGAGUAACCUGCCCUUGACUUUGGGAUAACUUCAGGAAACUGGGGCUAAUACCGGAUAGGAGCUCCUGCUGCAUGGUGGGGGUUGGAAAGUUUCGGCGGUUGGGGAUGGACUCGCGGCUUAUCAGCUUGUUGGUGGGGUAGUGGCUUACCAAGGCUUUGACGGGUAGCCGGCCUGAGAGGGUGACCGGCCACAUUGGGACUGAGAUACGGCCCAGACUCCUACGGGAGGCAGCAGUGGGGAAUAUUGCACAAUGGGCGGAAGCCUGAUGCAGCAACGCCGCGUGCGGGAUGACGGCCUUCGGGUUGUAAACCGCUUUCGCCUGUGACGAAGCGUGAGUGAUGGUAAUGGGUAAAGAAGCACCGGCUAACUACGUG